rnacentral:rRNA from 1 species
GAUGAACGCUAGCGGCAGGCUUAACACAUGCAAGUCGAGGGGUAUCACGCUUUCGGGCGUGAGAGACCGGCGCACGGGUGCGUAACGCGUAUGCAAUCUACCUUUUGCAGAGGGAUAGCCCCAGAGAAAUUUGGAUUAAUACCUCAUAGUAUAGAACAAUCGCAUGAUUGAGCUAUUAAAGUCACAACGGCAAAAGAUGAGCAUGCGUCCCAUUAGUUAGUUGGUAAGGUAACGGCUUACCAAGACUACGAUGGGUAGGGGUCCUGAGAGGGAGAUCCCCCCACACUGGUACUGAGACACGGACCAGACUCCUACGGGAGGCAGCAGUGAGGAAUAUUGCACAAUGGACCGAAAGUCUGAUGCAG